UACGUAGGGUGCGAGCGUUGCCCGGAUUUAUUGGGCGUAAAGGGUGCGUAGGCGGGUCUUUAAGUCAGGGGUGAAAUCCUGGAGCUCAACUCCAGAACUGCCUUUGAUACUGAGGAUCUUGAGUUCGGGAGAGGUGAGUGGAACUGCGAGUGUAGAGGUGAAAUUCGUAGAUAUUCGCAAGAACACCAGUGGCGAAGGCGGCUCACUGGCCCGAUACUGACGCUGAGGCACGAAAGCGUGGGGGGCAAACAGG
rnacentral:rRNA from 1 species